UACGGGAGGCAGCAGUGGGGAAUAUUGCACAAUGGGCGCAAGCCUGAUGCAGCCAUGCCGCGUGUAUGAAGAAGGCCUUCGGGUUGUAAAGUACUUUCAGUCGUGAGGAAGGUGUUAAGGUUAAUAACCUUAGCAAUUGACGUUAGCGACAGAAGAAGCACCGGCUAACUCCGUGCCAGCAGCCGCGGUAAUACGGAGGGUGCGAGCGUUAAUCGGAAUUACUGGGCGUAAAGGGCACGCAGGCGGUUAAUUAAGUUGGAUGUGAAAUCCCCGGGCUUAACCUGGGAAUGGCAUUCAAGACUGGUUAGCUAGAGUCUUGUAGAGGGGGUAGAAUUCCAUGUGUAGCGGUGAAAUGCGUAGAGAUGUGGAGGAAUACCGGUGGCGAAGGCGGCCCCUGGGACAAAGACUGACGCUCAUGUGCGAAGCGUGGGGAGCAAACGAGGAUUAGAUACC
rnacentral:rRNA from 1 species